CCAAUAGCGUAUAUUAAAGUUGUUGCAGUUAAAAAGCUCGUAGUUGAAUUUCGGGGUUAGUAGGCUGGUCAUGCCUCUGGUAGGUACUGGUCUCACUGAUUCCUCCUUCCUGAUGAACCUUAAUGCCUUUAAUUUGUUGUUGCGGGGAUUUUGGACUGUUACUUUGAAAAAAUUGGAGUGUUUAAAGCAAGCUAACGCUGGAAUACAUUAGCAUGGAAUAAUGAAAUAGGACGUUCGAUCCUAUUUUGUUGGUUUCUAGGAUUGACGUAAUGAUUAAUAGGGAUAGUUGGGGGCAUUAGUAUUCAAUUGUCAGAGGUGAAAUUCUUGGAUUUAUUGAAGACUAACUACUGCGAAAGCAUUUGCCAAGGAUGUUUUCAUUAAUCAAGAACGAAAGUUAGGGGAUCGAAGACGAUCAGAUACCGUCGUAGUCUUAACCAUAAACUAUGCCGACUAGGGAUCGGAUGAUGUUAAUUUUUUAAUGACUCAUUCGGCGCCUUACG
rnacentral:rRNA from 1 species